rnacentral:rRNA from 1 species
UACGGAAGGCAGCAGUGGGGAAUAUUGCACAAUGGGCGAAAGCCUGAUGCAGCUAUGCCGCGUGUAUGAAGAAGGCCUUAGGGUUGUAAAGUACUUUCAUCGGGGAGGAAAAACAAAACUAAUAAUUUUAUUUCUUGACGUUACCCGAAAAAGAAGCGCCGGCUAACUCCGUGCCAGCAGCCGCGGUAAUACGGAGGGUGCUAGCGUUAAUCAGAAUUACUGGGCGUAAAGAGCACGUAGGUGGUUUUUUUAAGUCAGAUGUGAAAUCCCUGGGCUUAACCUGGAACUGCAUUUUGAAACUGAAAUACUAGAGUAUCGUAGAGGGAGGUAGAAUUCUAGGUGUAGCGGUGAAAUGCGUAGAUAUCUGGAGGAAUACCUGUGGCGAAAGCGGCCUCCUAAACGAAUACUGACACUGAGGUGCGAAAGCGUGGGGAGCAAACAGGGAUUAGAUACC